GACGAACGCUGGCGGCGUGCCUAACACAUGCAAGUCGCACGGGACCAGCAAUGGUUCAGUGGCGGACGGGUGCGUAACACGUGAGGAACAUGCCUAUCGGCGGGGGAUAGCCGGCCCAACGGCCGGGUAAUACCGCGUACGACCUUCGGUGGCGAUCACCUGGUGGUGGAAAGACAGCAAUGCGCCGAUAGAGUGCCUCGCGGCCGUAUCAGCUAGUUGGUGAGGUAAUGGCUCACCAAGGCUACGACGGGUAGCUGGUCUGAGAGGAUGACCAGCCACAUUGGGACUGAGACACGGCCCAGACUCCUACGGGAGGCAGCAGUGGGGAAUAUUGCGCAAUGGGCGAAAGCCUGACGCAGCGACGCCGCGUGUGGGAUGACGGUCUUCGGAUUGUAAACCACUGUCGGG
rnacentral:rRNA from 1 species